ACUUCUGGGUUAGCGCCAUCGGCGAAUGGCGGAGUUCCUCUGACCGGAGGAACUGGCUCCGUGGAAACUGGGUCUUCCCGCCGCGGCAAAGGUGGGGACCCGCUAGAAAUCCCAGGUGGAGGAAGCCUGGGAACGUGGGGUUCGGCAGGGCACCAGGAGCGCCUCCCCUACUCGUGGGGAACCCCAUUUUGGGGCUCCAGAGCGAAGUGGGGUGAGCGGUGCGGUGCUGUGAACUGACUGCUACUUUCACGGAGUGAAGCCGCACAGCCAUUGCCGGAGAGUGCUGACCUUUUCCUGUGGACAAUUGGACUUAAAACAAGUACCCGUGAGUAGAAAUGGAAAAUUGGAUUAAGAAACAUCCUAAUUUGGCACCGAAGUGGGAAGGUUCAAAACAGGAAGUCCACCUUCCGCUUUUGUAAAUAGACUAAAGCAAAAACCUUGUAAGCUAAAGCCUGGAAAGUCGUUUAUAAAGGUCUAAAUUUCCUUCAUUUAUAACCACUAAAACCCCCCUUGGAAGCAGGAGAAAAGGGGGGGGGACUUUGACUGUUUAAGCCUGCAGGAGAGGGAGUAAAGAAAGAUAAGUUUCCACCGUCUCAAACCUGGGAACGGGGUGUCAGAGACAGAAAUUGUUGGAGAUGUUCAUCGACUGUGAAUGGAACAUUUUGACAGAUAGCUAAAAAAGAGAAAUAAACUGAUUCCAAUGUUGCCUUUUGCAUUCUAAAGAAACAAAAUAUUUGAAAAAUGAAAGUAACUUUCCUUUGUUGGACUUGCUUUAAAAAGUUGGAUACAAAUAGAAAUUGUCUCCUCUAGAGGGAGCCUGUUAAAUUGUUGCUGCAGUCUACUUGGGGACUUUACAGCUGUGAGAUUAAGAUCGUGGGACCAGUCUUUUGACCUUGGAUAAAAAUGUGUUGGGAGGAAGUUUUGGUGCUUGCUUUUUGCAAGACAAGUGCUUUGUUGGAGCAGAUGCAUGAGAAGAUGGAUUUGAUGAAUGAGAAGAUGGAUUUGAUGACUGUUGUAGUCAGUAACUGCGGACAAACAGGGAAUACUGAUACAGAAAUCAUUCAGGGACCAACUCAGGAACCUGUUUUGACUGGGCAAGUGCAAGUGCAGAAGAUAAUGGAGGAGGGUGCGGUUGCACCUCAAGUAAUACAAAUGGAGAGAUCCGAGGCCCUGCAGGAGCAUAAGCCGCUGUUUUUGAAGGUUGAAUUUGGAGUGGGCCAGGGGGAGUUUGGAGCUGAGUAGGCUCUUAACUUCAGAGGGACUUUGAAAUAUGCUUUUAAAUAUUUUUUGGAUUACACUGAUGACUGUGGGGAGUGGGACUGUGGGGAAUGGGCUGGUCUGAUGAGGGGAGAUGGAGAUAAUUUCGGACUGGAAUCUCCCAGAGACCUACUCCUCAAUGAGAAAGGAAAGAAAUUAAGAAAGAGACCAACAAAAGACAAGGAAAAGUGCAGGUAU
rnacentral:lncRNA from 1 species